rnacentral:misc_RNA from 1 species
GCCACGCCCGAAGUCAUUACCUCAACCGCAAGGAGGGGGAUGCCUAAGGCAGGGCUAGUGACUGGGGUGAAGUCGUAACAAGGUAGCCGUACCGGAAGGUGUGGCUGGAUCACCUCCUUAAAGGGAGACCUAAUUCGGGUAUGGGAUGAAAAAAAAGUAGUCCCAACCAAGAAUCAAUCCCAAAAGGUCGGAGCGAGGCGAAAUUGGCUUUCAAACUAGGUUCUGGGUUCACAGAAGACCUGAAUCAGGAACAAGGGCUAUUAGCUCAGGUGGUUAGAGCGCACCCCUGAUAAGGGUGAGGUCCCUGGUUCGAGUCCAGGAUGGCCCACCUGCACAGGUGGUAAAAACAAGAGAAGCGAGGAAUCAGCACCUUAUCUUACUUACAUAGUAAGAGAGAAUGCUGGCUCUGAGUAAAGAGUCCAGAGGAACCUUGAAAACUGCAUAGAGCUAGGUGAAAAAGCCAAAAAAGAAGACCGCAAGGUCAAGCUAAUAAGGGCUAACGGUGGAUACCUAGGCACACAGAGG